GAUGAACGCUGGCGGCGUGCCUAAUACAUGCAAGUCGAGCGAACAGAUGAGGAGCUUGCUCCUCUGACGUUAGCGGCGGACGGGUGAGUAACACGUGGAUAACCUACCUAUAAGACUGGGAUAACUUCGGGAAACCGGAGCUAAUACCGGAUAAUAUAUUGAACCGCAUGGUUCAAUAGUGAAAGACGGUCUUGCUGUCACUUAUAGAUGGAUCCGCGCUGCAUUAGCUAGUUGGUAAGGUAACGGCUUACCAAGGCAACGAUGCGUAGCCGACCUGAGAGGGUGAUCGGCCACACUGGAACUGAGACACGGUCCAGACUCCUACGGGAGGCAGCAGUAGGGAAUCUUCCGCAAAGGGCGAAAGCCUGACGGAGCAACGCCGCGUGAGUGAUGAAGGUCUUCGGAUCGUAAAACUCUGUUAUUAGGGAAGAACAAAUGUGUAAGUAACUAUGCACGUCUUGACGGUACCUAAUCAGAAAGCCACGGCUAACUACGUG
rnacentral:rRNA from 1 species